GAUGAACGCUGGCGGCGUGCCUAAUACAUGCAAGUCGAGCGAACAGACGAGGAUCUUGCUCCUCUGACGUUAGCGGCGGACGGGUGAGUAACACGUGUAUAACCUACCUAUCAGACUGGGAUCACUUCGGGAAACCGGAGCUAAUACCGUAUAAUAUAUUGCUCCGCAUGGUUCAAUAGUGAAAUACGGUUCUUCUGUCACUUAUAGAUGCAUCUGGGCUGCAUUAGCUAGUUGGUAAGGUAACAGCUUACCAAGGCAACGAUGCGUAGACGACCUGAGAGAGUGAUAGGCGACACUGGAACUGAGACAGGGUCAAGACUCCUAAGGGAGGCAGCAGUAGGGAAUCUUCAGCAAUGGGCGAAAGCAUGACGGAGCAAGGGCGCGUGAGAGAUGAAGGUGUUCGGAGCGUAAAAAUGUGUUAUUAGGGAAGAACAAAUGUGUAAGGAAAUAUGCACGUAGUGACGGUACCUAAUAAGAAAGCAACGGCUAACUACGUG
rnacentral:rRNA from 1 species